rnacentral:rRNA from 1 species
UACAGAGGUCUCAAGCGUUGUUCGGAUUCAUUGGGCGUAAAGGGCGCGUAGGCGGGGAGGUAAGUCGGGUGUGAAAUCCCUCGGCCCAACCGAGGAACUGCGCCCGAGACUGCUUCUCUUGAGUCCCGGAGAGGAAGAUGGAAUUCCCGGUGUAGCGGUGAAAUGUGUAGAGAUCGGGAGGAACACCGGUGGCGAAGGCGACUACCUGGCCUGUUCUUGACGCUGAGGCGCGAAAGCUAGGGGAGCAAACGGG